UACGAAGGGGGCUAGCGUUGCUCGGAAUCACUGGGCGUAAAGGGUGCGUAGGCGGGUCUUUUAAGUCAGAGGUGAAAUCCUGGAGCUCAACUCCAGAACUGCCUUUGAUACUGAGGAUCUUGAGUACGGGAGAGGUGAGUGGAACUGCGAGUGUAGAGGUGAAAUUCGUAGAUAUUCGCAAGAACACCAGUGGCGAAGGCGGCUACCUGGCCCAAUACUGACACUCAGGUGCGACAGCGUGGGGAGCAAACAGG
rnacentral:rRNA from 1 species